UACGAAGGGGGCUAGCGUUGCUCGGAAUCACUGGGCGUAAAGCGCACGUAGGCGGAUCUUUAAGUCAGGGGUGAAAUCCUGGAGCUCAACUCCAGAACUGCCUUUGAUACUGGGGAUCUCGAGUCCGGAAGAGGUGAGUGGAACUCCGAGUGUAGAGGUGAAAUUCGUAGAUAUUCGCAAGAACACCAGUGGCGAAGGCGGCUUACUGGUCCGGAUCUGACGCUGAGGCGCGAAAGCGUGGGGAGCAAACAGG
rnacentral:rRNA from 1 species